CAGACAGUAGUUGCAGCAUGUUUGAUGUUCAGCAUCAAUAACACAGGCAACAGGAGGAUACUCGGGGCGAGCGACAGGAUGACUGAAUAAAGCAGCAGCCGUUGGGAUCCAGGCAGUUAACGGCAAAUUUGGGACCCUGGAUCUAAGAGUUCUACCUACUAAUAAAAGAAGCAUAAAUAAAUAAAGCGUCAAGAAUUCAGAAAGUCAAAGAAACCAAUGCAGGAGUCCAAGAAAAACAUCUUCCAUGCACCAUGUCACGUUUGGAAUUCUCUGGUGGUCUUAUAGCAGGCAGGAAGUGGAAGACAACUAUAUUCUGGAAGGAAGGCAAUUUA
rnacentral:lncRNA from 1 species